rnacentral:rRNA from 1 species
CGAGACCUCAGGUCAGGCGGGGCUACCCGCUGAAUUUAAGCAUAUCAAUAAGCGGAGGAAAAGAAACUAACAGGAUUCCCUUAAUAACGG